ACUUGUUUGUCUGUAUUUAAAGUAUUAUCGUUUGAGGUUCUUGAAAAGUUUUCAAUGAAAAAUGCUACUGAUUAAAAAAUCUGCGUUAUAUCUUUGUACAUAUUUUGUGCCAUCAUCAACAUAACGAAUUGUUUGUAUUUCUAUUUCAAAAUCGAGCGACGUUUAAUAUUAUGACUUCAUUUAGAUAAAUCCCAUUUCACCACCUACCUAUGUUGUCAUGACAACAACAAUGAAUCGAGAAGAAGGUUUGAAAGCUUUGGAAACAUCUAUCAAAGCCAUUGAAGAAGUCAUUAUGAACAAGAAAGGAACAUUUGUUUUACAACAAGCUCCAAAGGUUGUCACAAAUAUGGAUGAAGCAGACUUUGCAAAGGAACUGGAAAAACUUGAACGUCAAAAUGCAGAAGUUGAUGGUGAUGAUGAUAAUCCUGAUGAUGAAGAAUAACAAGAGCUUGUUUUGACUCUUGGGAGAUGUUUCCAUCACGAAAGUCAAAGUCUACACAUUGACGCCCACCAUUCUGUGACGUAAAUCGAUGAAACUCUCACCUUCGCAUCUUCAUGUUGUCAGGUUGAGAUUUCUACUUCAGAAGAGAGGUUGCUGUGACUGUAAGAGCCAUGGAUAAGAAGCCUGGUGAAACUUCGAAGAACUCGAGAAGCUCAGAAAAUGAACAAAACGACCAAAGCAAUGAUUAGGAAAACUUUCAAGAUCGUCAUGGAGAAGUGAGAGCGGAAAUGGGAAAUGGUACUGGAGGUUAUCCCAUACCAGAGAGCCGUAUUGAAGAAUUCAAUUUUUCGCCUUACAUACCAGGAGAACUUUAAAUCAACUUUAGCUCAAUGUAUUAGAACCUUCAUAUUUAGAAACAACCACUCACCUUAUAUCUUUUAUUUAUUUGUACGUUAAACGUAAACACUUCAUUAUACAUUCUGUUUCAAAAACAAAAACUUUCAAGGACAUGUAUGCUAACACCUUGACCGCCUUGUGUAAUUAAUUGACAAACAAUUUAUGUAGCUUUUUUAAAAACUUUGUACGUAAACUUUUGUAACUAUAUUCAUUUUUUUAUUUGCGCCAUUGUUGUCUUUGAUUGGAAUGAUCAUUUUUGAUGUAAUCAGUUUUAACAGUGGUUUUAAUAACGAACUAUUCACCGUUUUCUCUUUAGGUAUUUCUUGGUAAUUGAUUUUAAGACAAGCCAAAUGAUUAUGGUAAAUGUUUUUUGAGGAAAAAGACAUUUUUGAGUAUAACGAGACAAUAACUUCAAAAACACCAUAAUUUUCAUUAAUUGUGGUUAAUUUUUGAUUGAUUAUCAUAUUGAAUUUCAUAAAUAAUUUGUAAUGAUAAUUAUUCAUUGCGCUCGGCCAGGGGACUGUGAAAAUUGUGAAUUGGUUUUGUAUUUAUGAAAGCUGACUUGAUAACAUUGAAAAUGAACUGAAAUUUUUUUUCUUUGCUUUUCUCUCAUUAUGGUAAAACAAAGGUUAUCCUCUCUGUGGCAUUUCGUUAUUUGUGUCUUAAUUUACGACCACAAUGGCUGACUAUGUUUGCUGGCGUUUUGGGGAGUAAUUUGUUUAUUUGCAUUUAACCUGGAAAUGUUAACGUGAAAGAACCAGAACCGAACGAAGAAAAAGUUGAACCAAUACAUUCUGUGCUUGACGUAAUAAGAUAAAUCCCAUUUCACCACCAACUUAUGUUGUCAUGACAACAACAAUGAAUCGAGAAGAAGGUUUGAAAGCUUUGGAAACAUCUAUCAAAGUCAUUGAAGAAGUCAUUAUGAACAAGAAAGGAACAUUUGUUUUACAACAAGCUGUAAGUGUUUGGUUUAUAUUUCUAUGAAAAGUAUAUUGUAUCACUAAAAUGACAUCCCCCUGGUGCCUCUACUAUCCUCAUAUCAUCCUGUUACCAUUUCCCUAAGUACCCCAUGCUGUAUUAAGACGGACAUAUUCAAUCAUUAGUCGUUUAUUUGAAAAUUACAAUGACACCAUCCCAAUGCAUUGAAAUCAAUAAUAUUAGGACCCUGUGACAUUGGCAAUAAUUUAUGUAAACUGACCACAAAAAUUAGUUUUUCCUAAAGCUAAUUAUGCAUUGUGAUAUCAUAACAAUGUCUUUUGCAUAUUGAAGAAAAGUUAUGUGUCUCAUCUGAUUAUGGCUCAUCUGAUUAUGACCUUCAUGGGAGGUAUCGGUCCCACUUUACCAUACUUUUAUAUUACAAAAUCACAGUUU